UUUUUUUCAUUCAUGAGACUCAAAGACCGCUGCUCACAACCUAACACUAUUGAGGUAUGUUCUCGAAUCCUUUUUUUUUUGUUUUACUAACAGUCCUCUGUUUUAAGUUUCACAAUUUUCUACAUGAGACUUAAAGACUGGAGCUCACAGCGUAGCAAACUAGCCACGUAUGCUCAUGAUUCUUAAUUGCUUAACAAUUAACUGACCGGCUUUCAUUUUAUUAUGUCAAGUUUUUCUACACGAGACCCUAAGACGGCAGCUCACACUUUGUCAUUAGUCAGAUAUGUUCUUGAAUCUUACUUCUUUUUAUGUUUACUAACCGAUUUCCGUUUUAAAAUUUAUGUUUUUUCUACAUGAGACUCUAAAGAUUGGUUAAGCGGAAUUUGACCAUGCUCAAGCAUUUUAGCAAAGUGUUGUUGUUGGAGCUGUUAUGGGUACAAAAAUGGAUGGUCAUGCAAAGGGUGGUGGAGCUCUUAGUGUUUUUUCUACACGAGACCCUAAGACGGCAGCUCACACUUUGUCAUUAGUCAGAUAUGUUCUUGAAUCUUACUUCUUUUUAUGUUUACUAACCGAUUUCCGUUUUAAAAUUUAUGUUUUUUCUACAUGAGACUCUAAAGAUUGGUUAAGCGGAAUUUGACCAUGCUCAAGCAUUUUAGCAGAGUGUUGUUGUUGGAGCUGUUAUGGGUACAAAAAUGGAUGGUCAUGCAAAGGGUGGUGGAGCUCUUAGUGUUUUUUCUACACGAGACCCUAAGACGGCAGCUCACACUUUGUCAUUAGUCAGAUAUGUUCUUGAAUCUUACUUCUUUUUAUGUUUACUAACCGAUUUCCGUUUUAAAAUUUAUGUUUUUUCUACAUGAGACUCUAAAGAUUGGUUAAGCGGAAUUUGACCAUGCUCAAGCAUUUUAGCAGAGUGUUGUUGUUGGAGCUGUUAUGGGUACAAAAAUGGAUGGUCAUGCAAAGGGUGGUGGAGCUCUUAGUGUUUUUUCUACACGAGACCCUAAGACGGCAGCUCACACUUUGUCAUUAGUCAGAUAUGUUCUUGAAUCUUACUUCUUUUUAUGUUUACUAACCGAUUUCCGUUUUAAAAUUUAUGUUUUUUCUACAUGAGACUCUAAAGAUUGGUUAAGCGGAAUUUGACCAUGCUCAAGCAUUUUAGCAGAGUGUUCUUGGAGCUGUUAUGGGUACAAAAAUGGAUGGUCAUGCAAAGGGUGGUGGAGCUCUUAGUGUUUUUUCUACACGAGACCCUAAGACGGAAGCUCACACUUUGUCAUUAGUCAGAUAUGUUCUUGAAUCUUACUUCUUUUUAUGUUUACUAACCGAUUUCCGUUUUAAAAUUUAUGUUUUUUCUACAUGAGACCCUAAAGAUUGGUUAAGCGGCAUUUGACCAUGCUCAAGCAUUUUAGCAGAGUGUUGUUGUUGGAGCUCUUAUGGGUACAAAAAUGGAUGGUCAUGCAAAGGGUGGUGGAGCUCUUAGUGUGUUCGUAUAACCCAAUUUGUCCAGACCCCCUGGAUGUGCCACACUAUGGGUAACCUGAAACAUGGGUUGGUGGGUCAGUAAAGACCGCUGCUCACAACCUAACACUAUUGAGUUUUUCUACACGAGACGCUAAGAUGGCGGCUCUCAUGGCCAAUUUAGAUAAACAAACUGGAGAGGUAAGUACUGAAUCUGUUUGUUUAAGAUAAACAAACUGGAGAGCUAAAUGACUUCCCUUAGUAAUUUUAGUUUUUUUUUCAUUCAUGAGACUCAAAGACCGCUGCUCACAACCCAACUUAGAUAAACAAACUGGAGAGCUAAAUGACUUCCCUUAGUAAUUUUAGUUUUUUUUUUCAUUCAUGAGACUCAAAGACCGCUGCUCACAACCUAACACUAUUGAGGUAUGUUCUCGAAUCCUUUUUUUUAGUUUUACUAACAGUCCUCUGUUUUAAGUUUCACAAUUUUCUACAUGAGACUUAAAGACUGGAGCUCACAGCGUAGCAAACUAGCCACGUAUGCUCAUGAUUCUUAAUUGCUUAACAAUUUACUGACCGACUUUCAUUUUAUUAUGUCAAGUUUUUCUACACGAGACCCUAAGAUGGCGGCUCUCAUGGCCAACUUAGAUAAACAAACUGGAGAGGUAAGUACUGAAUCUGUUUGUUUAAGAUGUCGUGAAUUAAGUACUAAAUUUGUUUUUUAAGAUGUGAAUUAAAGGGUGAAGUUGGCAGGUUGUCAAGACAAAACGAAAGUCUGGUGAAUGAGAUGUCGAACAUAAAAGAGUCAAACUUUUUCGUAAAAAGAAAUGAGUCUAUGUAUUUGAAGAAAAUUAAAGGAUAUGAAGCUGAAAUUGAGGCUUUAACUUGCAAAUUAAACGAAAAACUUCAAAUUAUAGACUUAGCUAAUGACACGAUGAGUGAGAAAACAAAAGGAAUUUCUGAAAAAUGCAAAGAGUUGUCAAAUGCACAACUAAAAAUCGUUGGAACUUGAAAAGAAAUUAAAUCAAUUCAGGGAUUCUUCUUUUGUAAUGAAACACAUGAUAGGUGGGUUAAAGAAGAGUAAUGACAAGACCAGUGUGGGCUUAAAGGGCUUUAAUGAAGUCCCACCUCCUCUUGGUCAUGACUAUUCAUUCCUGCCUGAUGAAGAUGAGUUAAUGGACUUUGUGUCUGAGAGUGAUGAUGCUAAGAAGAAAAAUAACAGGGAACCUUUGAAAAAGAAAAAUUCAUCUCCUAAGAAUAAAAAUCAAACUUUUGUUCAGGGAAGUGACAUGAAAAACGAAACCACUGUUAUUGAAAACGAAUCAAAUGUAGAGUUUGCAAAAAAUAAAAACAUAGAAAAAUCUGUAUCUAAGCAAACUGAACAAGAUUCUUCCAAGGCAUCAUCAUCUGAUGAGGGAUCUAGCUCAAAGACUUCAGCUAAAAAGUCUUCGAAAAGCAGAUCGUGCUUCAAGUGUCACACAAAGGGACAUGUAGCUAGUUGUUGUCCUAACAAAAAGUCUGGAGCACAAGUUAGUGAGAGAAAGAGAGAGAAAUCACUAGAGAAGAGUGGUGAUAAUAUGGAGAAAAUGUCAAACUCUCCAAAGAAAUCUGUUCCUAAGCAACAUGAGGGUGUUGCUGUUGGUGUAGAUAAGGCUGAAAAAGAAACUCCACAAGUUACUCGUUUUCAAAGAAAUCAACCAAGAUUUCAGCCUGAAUCUACAUCAGGCAGAUAUGAGAGACCUAGAAGCAGUUCACCAAAAAUGAACAAUUUUAUUGAAAAUUAAAGUAAUUUCAGAAGUCAAGGUCAAUAUCAAACUCGAUACCAAAAUAAUGGUGAUCGAACUUUUUAUAAUAAUGGCUUUAGAAAUUACAACAAUCAAGAUUAUAGGAAUCAAAACUCAAGGUACCAAAACCAAAAUAGUUCAAACACAUAUAGGAACCCUCAGGACCAUAGACCUAGUGGAAAUCAAAAUCAAAUUCCAUUAACAGGUUUGAGAUCCAAGACUCCUGUUAGGAGUAAUGGAUAUUGGAUGGAUGUUUCAGUAGUUGGUGAAUUUGGACGACCCAAGACCAUUAAGGCUUGGGUCCCCCAAUCUAACUAAUUUUAUGGUUGGUGUGUGCAGGAGCUGCUAAGCAGGAUUAUCAACUUAUGGUAUGUUGAUAGUGGUUGUUCUAGGCACAUGACGGGGGAUGCAAGAUUGUUGAAUGAGUUUGAAAAUUAUGAUGGUGGACAUGUGAACUUUGCUGGUGUUAAAGGUGGUAGAAUUACAGGUAGAGGAAAAGUGACCAAUGGGAAGAUCACACUAGACAAAGUGAACUAUGUUGAGCAGCUUAAGCACAAUCUGAUAAGCGUGUCACAAGUCUGCGACAAGGGUCACUCGGUCCAUUUUAUCAAGACUGAAACAUUAGUAUUGAAACCAGGUUUGGUGAUUCCGGACGAUUGAAUAGUGAUGAGAGCGCCAAGGAGAAAUGAUAGUUAUGUCAUGGACAUGGGUGCCAAGGAUCCGACUGCUGUGGUGGCGUGUUUACUAUCAAAAGCAUCUGAAACUGAAUCAAUGUUGUGACACAGACGCAUGACCCAUAUUCACUAUCGCAAAAUGAACUAUAUUAUUAAAAAUGAAUUAGUGAAAGGAGUUCCAAUGCAGAGGUUUCACGUGGAAGAUAAAUGUCUUCCAUGUCAAAAGGGAAAACAACAUAAGAAACUCACAAAUCAAAAACAGUAAAUUCCAUAGAUGCCCCUUAUGAAUUACUUCACAUGGAUUUAUUCGAUCCAGUGAACGUGAGGAGCAUAGGUGGAAAAUACAUUGUCUUGUUGUCACAGAUGAUUACUCACGUUAUUCAUGGGUUUUCUUUUUAGGUACAAAAGAUGAGACAGCGGAGAUGCUGAUAGAUCUUUUUACAAAAUUGGAAAACGUCCAUGAAGCAAGGAUCAAGAGGAUAAGGAGUGAUAAUGGCACGGAGUUCAAGAAGCGGAUUCUGGAUCUCUACUGUCUUCGAAGGGGAAUUGAAUAUCAAUAUUCUGCUCCUUAUACGCCUCAACAGAAUGGAGUUGCUGAGAGGAAACACAGGACGUUGAUUGAAGCCGCUAGGACUAUGCUUUCAGAUUCAAAGCUUCCAGUUCUUUUCUGGGGAGAAGCUGUGAAUAUAGCUUGCUACGUCCUAAACAAAGUUUUAAUCGUUGAACGUUUUAACAAAACAUGUCAUGAAUUAAUGUUUAACGGGAAACUACACUUAACCUGCUUUGAGCCAUUUGGAUUACCAUG